rnacentral:rRNA from 1 species
ACACUCCUACGGGAGGCAGCAGUGGGGAAUUAUGGACAAUGGGCGAAAGCCUGAUCCAGCCAUGCCGCGUGCAGGAUGAAGGCCUUCGGGUUGUAAACUGCUUUUGUACGGAACGAAACGGCCUUUUCUAAUAAAGAGGGCUAAUGACGGUACCGUAAGAAUAAGCACCGGCUAACUACGUGCCAGCAGCCGCGGUAAUACGUAGGGUGCAAGCGUUAAUCGGAAUUACUGGGCGUAAAGCGUGCGCAGGCGGUUAUGUAAGACAGUUGUGAAAUCCCCGGGCUCAACCUGGGAACUGCAUCUGUGACUGCAUAGCUAGAGUACGGUAGAGGGGGAUGGAAUUCCGCGUGUAGCAGUGAAAUGCGUAGAUAUGCGGAGGAACACCGAUGGCGAAGGCAAUCCCCUGGACCUGUACUGACGCUCAUGCACGAAAGCGUGGGGAGCAAACAGGAUUAGAUACCCCUGUAGUCCCAUG